GAUGUACUCCCUCCGUUCGGAAUUACUUGUCUCGAAAAUGGAUGUAUCUAGAACUAAAAUACGUCUAGAUACAUCCAUUUCUACGACAAGUAAUUUCGAACGGAGGGAGUACACU
rnacentral:pre_miRNA from 1 species